CCAAUUUGUAAGUCGCUCUGGAUAAGAGCGUCUGCUAAAUGACUUAAAUGUAAAUGUAAAUGUCCGUGCGCGUGGACGAGGCCUACUGAUGUCCAGUUCAGUUUGGGCGGAAGAGCGCAAAGAUGAGAAGGAGGGCGAGAGGAAUGUGGAGUACUGCCUGUUCGCCCCCCCACCCCACCCUGAUCCACCCAGCUUUUUACCCUGAAAUUGGAGCGGUGUCCUCUGGGGCACAUCAGCCAGUGGGUCAGACCUGCUCCACAAACGACUGGUUAGGACCUGACCGUGGCUGGCAGAGACACGAUCUCCCCUCAUCUCUAGAUGACCUCACAUUGUAGUACCAGCCCCAUCUGCCACCAUCACAUACACAGUCUCUAUAUUCCUCUCUGAAUCAUGUAGCUAUGUACAGCAUUUGUGACACUCUGGAGCCGAGCCUUUGUGUCUCAGCAGCCCAAUGGGAUUAUGAUAAAGGUCCAUCUGACAUUUUAAUAAACUGAAAGUGAUACUCCUGUUAUUUA